CGUUGAGUAUUUGACGAGCUGCGUGCGUAGACUGUAGGAUAACUAUCGCAUGAAUAUUAAGGAAUAUGUCUUUAGAAAAGAUACAUUUUGAAGUUAAAUGUGAAGUGACUGAGCAACAUUUAGAUAGCGGCAGUAACUUGAAUGCAUUUUAUUCGCUAAAACUAGUUGGAUAGAGGUUCAACUAAACUAUUGAACUAGAACAGACACAAGUAGCCUAGUACCAUGGGGCAAUGCUGGACUUUGGAUUAACAGCUUCAACUCCUCAUGCUAAUGAGAAAGGACGUUGACUUCAAAAAACUUCAUGCUGUGCUGUCUGAAGAGAAGAGGAGAAGGUGGUAAUGACGGCGACAGUAACGUCACAAAGAGAAAACAACUUAACAUGAAGGAUACAGAAUGUUUCCAUUUGUUUCUUCAUUGAGCUCCUGACGUCAGGAACGCAAACUGUCAGGGACAUUAGAAAAGAUCAACAAUAAAUGCU